rnacentral:rRNA from 1 species
AAAUCUAGAGCUAAUACGUGCGCACAUCCCGACUUCUGGAAGGGACGUAUUUAUUAGAUAAAAGGCCGACCGGGCUCUGCCCGCCUCGCGGUGACUCAUGAUAACUUCACGAAUCGCACGGCCUCGUGCCGGCGAUGUUUCAUUCAAAUUUCUGCCCUAUCAACUUUUGAUGGUAGGAUAGAGGCCUACCAUGGUGGUAACGGGCGACGGAGAAUUAGGGUUCGAUUCCGGAGAGGGAGCCUGAGAAACGGCUACCACAUCCAAGGAAGGCAGCAGGCGCGCAAAUUACCCAAUCCCGACACAGGGAGGUAGUGACAAUAAAUAACAAUACCGGGCCUUUGGUCUGGUAAUUGGAAUGAGUACAAUCUAAACCCCUUAACGAGGAUCAAUUGGAGGGCAAGUCUGGUGCCAGCAGCCGCGGUAAUUCCAGCUCCAAUAGCGUAUAUUUAAGUUGCUGCAGUUAAAAAGCUCGUAGUUGGAUUUCGGGUGGGGCCUGUCGGUCCGCCGUUUCGGUGUGCACUGACCGGGCCCACCUUGGUGCCGGGGACGGGCUCCUGGGCUUCGCUGUCCGGGACCCGGAGUCGGCGAGGUUACUUUGAGUAAAUUAGAGUGUCCAAAGCAGGCUUACGCCGUUGAAUACAUUAGCAUGGAAUAAUAAAAUAGGACUCUGGUCUAUUUUGUUGGUUAGUACUCCAGGGUAAUGAUUAAUAGGGACAGUUGGGGGUAUUCGUAUUCAAUUGUCAGAGGUGAAAUUCUUGGAUUUAUGGAAGACGAACUACUGCGAAAGCAUUUA